UACGUAGGGUGCAAGCGUUGUCCGGAAUUAUUGGGCGUAAAGAGCGUGUAGGCGGCCACGCAGGUCCGUUGUGAAAACUGGAGGCUCAACCUCCAGCUGUCGACGGAAACCGUGUGGCUAGAGUCCGGAAGAGGAGAGUGGAAUUCCUGGUGUAGCGGUGAAAUGCGCAGAUAUCAGGAAGAACACCAAUGGCGAAGGCAGCUCUCUGGGACGGUACUGACGCUGAGACGCGAAAGCGUGGGGAGCGAACAGG
rnacentral:rRNA from 1 species